rnacentral:sRNA from 1 species
UACUAUGAGUUGUAUUUUUGUAUGGGUUACCGUGGUUAGAUUGUUUCAAAUAACUUUCCCCAUUUGUGCCGAUCAAGAAUUACAACUAUUACGAAAUAGUGCCUGUUAGGCACAAGGAGGAAUUUUUAUUAUGGAACAAGGUACAGUAAAGUGGUUUAAUGCAGACAAGGGUUUUGGUUUUAUUACUCGCGAAGAUGGCAGCGAUGUAUUCGUACAUUUCUCAGCUAUCCAAGGUGACGGCUUCAAGACUUUAGACGAAGGCCAACAUGUAACUUUUGACGUUGAAGAAAGCGACCGCGGCCCACAGGCUGUUAACGUUAAUAAAGACUAAUUAAGUUAAAGAAAUCACCGGAACAGGGCUGUCGCUCUGUUCCGGUUU